CCUACGGGCGGCAGCAGUGGGGGAUAUUGCACAAUGGGGGAAACCCUGAUGCAGCGACGCCGCGUGUGGGAAGACGGUCCUCUGGAUUGUAAACCACUGUCCCCAGGGACGAAGAUGACGGUACCUGGGGAGGAAGCUCCGGCUAACUACGUGCCAGCAGACGCGGUAAUACGUAGGGAGCGAGCGUUGUCCGGAAUUACUGGGUGUAAGGGGAGCGUAGGCGGGACUGCAAGUUGGGUGUCAAAUCUACCGGCUCAACCGGUAGCCGCACUCAAAACUGCAGUUCUUGAGUGAAGUAGAGGCAGGCGGAAUUCCUAGUGUAGCGGUGAAAUGCGUAGAUAUUAGGAGGAACACCAGUGGCGAAGGCGGCCUGCUGGGCUUUUACUGACGCUGAGGCUCGAAAGUGUGGGGAGCAAACAGGAUUAGAUACCCGAGUAGUC
rnacentral:rRNA from 1 species